UCCGUGUUCACCACGGCAGUCUCCUUAGAGAGCCCAACUUAAUGCUGGCAACUAAGGACAAGGGUUGCGCUCGUUGCGGGACUUAACCCAACAUGUCACCACACGAGCUGACGACAGCCAUGCAGCACCUGUCUCCUCGUUGUAUUGCUACAAAAAACGUAUCUCUACGUCGGUCGAGGGAUGUCAAACCCAGGUAAGGUUCUUCGCGUUGCUUCGAAUUAAACCACAUGAUCCACCGCUUGUGCGGGCCCCCGUCAAUUCCUUUGAGUUUUAGUCUUGCGACCGUACUUCCCAGGCGGGGUACUUAUUGCGUUAGCGCCGGCUCAGCGGGGGUCAAGACCCACCAAGCCUAGUACCCAUCGUUUACAGCGUGGACUAC
rnacentral:misc_RNA from 1 species